AGCGAACGCUGGCGUCAGGCUUAACACAUGCAAGUCGAGCGGGCACCUUCGGGUGUCAGCGGCAGACGGGUGAGUAACACGUGGGAACGUACCCUUUGGUUCGGAAUAACGCUGGGAAACUAGCGCUAAUACCGGAUACGCCCUUUUGGGGAAAGGCUUGCUGCCGAAGGAUCGGCCCGCGUCUGAUUAGCUAGUUGGUGGGGUAAUGGCCUACCAAGGCGACGAUCAGUAGCUGGUCUGAGAGGAUGAUCAGCCACACUGGGACUGAGACACGGCCCAGACUCCUACGGGAGGCAGCAGUGGGGAAUAUUGGACAAUGGGCGCAAGCCUGAUCCAGCCAUGCCGCGUGAGUGAUGAAGGCCUUAGGGUUGUAAAGCUCUUUUGUCCGGGACGAUAAUGACGGUACCGGAAGAAUAAGCCCCGGCUAACUUCGUGCCAGCAGCCGCGGUAAUACGAAGGGGGCUAGCGUUGCUCGGAAUCACUGGGCGUAAAGGGCGCGUAGGCGGCCAUUCAAGUCGGGGGUGAAAGCCUGUGGCUCAACCACAGAAUUGCCUUCGAUACUGUUUGGCUUGAGUAUGGUAGAGGUCGGUGGAACUGCGAGUGUAGAGGUGAAAUUCGUAGAUAUUCGCAAGAACACCAGUGGCGAAGGCGGCCGACUGGACCAUUACUGACGCUGAG
rnacentral:rRNA from 1 species